UCCAAACAAACCUGAGGAGGGAGACGAACCAGGCGAUCGAGACCUGCCUGGGACUUGUCCCACCUGGAUAGAAGAAACAACUGAAGGUCCCGGGAGUGGAAUUGGGAAUAGGGAAUGGCUUCGAAGGAAGCCACCAUCCUCCCCAGGACGCGCAUACACGUCCUGAUAGUCAGGGUGGACGGGCCGCGGAGAAGCGUCACCCCCGCCUGAAGGGAGGCAAUCUUUUCUGGGGGGAGAAACA